GACCCGGUGGCGCAGUGGUUAGCACUGUUGCCCCUUGAUCUGAGGGUCCUUGGUUCAAUUCCACCCGGUGGCA